UGGGGAAUAUUGCACAAUGGGCGAAAGCCUGAUGCAGCGACGCCGCGUGCGGGAUGAAGGCCUUCGGGUUGUAAACCGCUUUCAGCAGGGACGAGGCCGCAAGGUGACGGUACCUGCAGAAGAAGCCCCGGCUAACUACGUGCCAGCAGCCGCGGUAAUACGUAUGGGGCGAGCGUUGUCCGGAAUUAUUGGGCGUAAAGGGUACGUUGGUGGGUUUUUAAGUCAGGUGUCAAAGCGUGGAGCUUAACUCCAUUAAGCACUUGAAACUGAAAGACUUGAAUGAAGGAGAGGAAAGUGGAAUUCCUAGUGUUGCGGUGAAAUGCGUAGAUAUUAGGAGGAAUACCGGUGGCGGACGCGACUUUCUGGACUUUUACAGACGCUCAAGUACGACAGCGUGGGGAGCAAACAGG
rnacentral:rRNA from 1 species